UACAGAGGGUGCAAGCGUUGUUCGGAAUUAUUGGGCGUAAAGGGCUCGUAGGCGGUCCAUCGCGUCGGGAGUGAAAAGCUGGGGCUCAACCCCAGUCCUGCUUCCGAUACGGGUGGACUAGAGGUAUGCAGGGGAGAACGGAAUUCCUGGUGUAGCGGUGAAAUGUGCAGAUAUCAGGAGGAACACCGGUGGCGAAGGCGCCACUCUGGGCCGAAACUGACGCUGAGGAGCGAAAGCGUGGGUAGCAAACAGG
rnacentral:rRNA from 1 species